ACUUAAAGGAAUUGGCGGGGGAGCACUACAACGGGUGGAGCCUGCGGUUUAAUUGGAUUCAACGCCGGGAAGCUUACCGGGAUCGACAGCGAUAUGAAGGCCAGGCUGAAGACCUUGCCGGAUUAGCUGAGAGGUGGUGCAUGGCCGUCGUCAGUUCGUACUGUGAAGCAUCCUGUUAAGUCAGGCAACGAGCGAGACCCACGCCCACAGUUGCCAGCGUACUCUCUGGAGUGACGGGUACACUGUGGGGACCGCCGCUGCUAAAGCGGAGGAAGGAAUGGGCAACGGUAGGUCAGUAUGCCCCGAAUGUCCCGGGCUACACGCGGGCUACAAUGGUUGGUACAAUGGGUAUCUACCCCGAAAGGGGAUGGAAAUCUCCUAAAGCCAAUCUUAGUUCGG
rnacentral:rRNA from 1 species